GUGACGAAAUGUAUUGUUAUCGGAUCCAGAGUGUAACAUGCAAUGUUUUCGCUGAUUGAAAUGUAUGUACGGUCUCUUUCUAUAGAUUUUGUUGUAUACUAAAUUAAAUUUGUUUUGUUAAAAAAAAAAUUAAAUUUGUUGCAAGAUACUCAGUUGCAAGAUACUCUCCUGACAUUGGCUUUUGAUUAUACAAUUUGAUUUGCUCAAUCUCUUAUUUCUAUGUAGGAGUAAACGCUGAUGAUGUUUGUGUUAGAUAUGGUUCGUUUGUAUAUCUGGAAGAUGCAUUCAGACAUUCAUUUAUAUGUUUUAUUCAUAUGUCAUAUAUGGAUGUUGUUCAUUUUUAUUUUGGAUAGUGCAU
rnacentral:lncRNA from 1 species